UACAGAGGGUGCGAGCGUUAAUCGGAAUUACUGGGCGUAAAGCGCACGUAGGCGGCUUGGUAUGUCGGGUGUGAAAUCCCCCGGGCUCAACCCGGGAACUGCGUCCGAUACUGGGAGGCUUGAAUCCGGGAGAGGGAUGUGGAAUUCCAGGUGUAGCGGUGAAAUGCGUAGAUAUCUGGAGGAACACCGGUGGCGAAGGCGGCAUCCUGGACCGGUAUUGACGCUGAGGCGCGAAAGCCAGGGGAGCAAACGGG
rnacentral:rRNA from 1 species